GCCACUGGAGGCACGUGAGGUCCAGGCUCCUGCCCUGCCCGCCCCUGGGCUUUGGUCACCCGCGGGACUGGGCACGCACAGGCACACAGCAGAGCCGUCCACAGACCCGGCCCAGGGGCCGCCGGGAUCAUCCCGCCCAGUCGAGCUCUUGGGCCCCCUUGAAGCCUAGGAGUGUUUUCUCAGAGAGAAAGCAGCACGCUUCUUGCGCAUUUGCACAUCUCCAACGCAGCGCUUCGGCCUGUCCUCCGCACUGGAGACUCAGGUGCCUCCGCCCUCCUGAGAGCAGGGGCGGCCUCUCUGCUGAGAGUUCUGAUUGUCAAGCUCCCAGAACUUUCAGAGUUCAGUCCGCCCAGCGUUCUUGUUUACCAGUUGAGGAAACGGAGGCCCAGGGAGGCUGUGCAGCGCGCCGGCACUCACACACCUGGUGGGGACAAAUGUGGACUAGGAUAUCUGGGACCGAAGUCUUGGCCUCCAGCUCCCUCUUGCCUCCCACUUACCUUUCCAGAGAUGGAGUUUCACCACGUUGGCCAAGCUGGUUUUGAACUCCAGACCUCAAGUGAUCUGCCCGCCUCGGCCUCCCAAAGUGCUGGGAUUAUACAUGUGAGCCACCGUGCCUGGCCUUGAGUUACAUUUUCAUGGGGACUUGGGACAAUCGGAAAUGCAUCCACCACACUUGCAGACUGACUGGUGAUCCUGAAAUGAUGGCGUGUGGGAGAGGCAUGGGCUUCCUUUAAGAGCCGCCAGAGCCAGGGCAGGGGCACCUUGUGCCUUGACAUAAGGAAGGCUCCCCUGCCAGGAUAGACAGAAGAGCUGCCGAAGAGGUGGAGCCAGGCAGGGGCCACAGGCCCGUGAAGGUCUCAGCAGAGCCCCCAGGAGAGUUGGACUUGCUGCAAGCAGAGCCUAUGGCUCUGCGGUUCCAGGAGAACUGUUUGUGCCCCUUGCCCCACUGCCUGCCAGCUGUCCCCAAAAGGACCAGAGGAUCAGAGUAGCCCACUCCAGACGAGGUGCGGGCACCAUGCUGUUACCAUCUGCUGCCCCUCUUUCCAUCUUUCCAUCUUACUUCCUGCGUGGCCCAGCAUCCAGGCUGUCUAGGGCCGUGGGAGACCUGGAGAGCCAUUAAAAACAACAACUGGCAGCACACAGGCAUUUUUUGGCAGCACACGGAAACUCACACGGAACAGACAGGGAGCCGGAGGACCGUGGCCAGGCUCCACCCUGGAGGCAGCAGAGCGAGGAACGUCUAAUGGGGAUCCCGUGUGGAUGCCUUUAGGGAGCUCUGCUGUAUACCUGUUACCUCUCACCCUCAAUCACACCUCUGGGGCCUGGAGCUGCUGGGGACACAUUGACUGGAAGGGGCUUGGGGGCACAAGGAGUGAGAGCCAGAGAAGGGCAGGGCAGCCCAGGGAUUGGCAGAGCUGGCCUCAGAAGCUAUUGGUGCCACUGAGAUUCAAGUACCCCCUGCUUCUUCCCCAAGUCACAGACAGGGUGAAGACAGAGGCAGGAUUCAAGCCCAGAGCCCAUGCACUGCCCUCAUUCCCUGACUGGAGUGUAUUCCUGGCAGGGUGACCUGGAAGGGGCCCCCCCAGCACACUAGCUGACCUACUUCUGCCUGGUCUGAGAAGCCUGUCCUACAUCACUCAACCUGAACACAGGGGAGGCAGGGGAAGAGGCAGGAGGGUCCUCCUAUGACCAGGACCACCCCCAGGGCCCGUGCUGCGGCAAGGGCAAGGACCCCUGCCUCCUUGUGCCCCUGCUCCCCACGUCUGAACGUGGACAGGACUGAGGUUGCCCUCUGUAAGGACUGUGGAGGCUCCAGGCUGGGAGAAGGUGGAAGGUCCCAGAGCCCCGGAGCCUGGCUCUGCUGCCUAAUGCUGGAGCAAGUCACCUGACCCGCCUAGCCUCAGUGUUCUCAUUUGUGAAGGGGGCUGAUGAUAGUGCCAGCUCUCAGAGCUGUUGUCUUCACCCUUGGCUUUCAGUGUCAUGGUCGUGAAGCCCACUCAUACGUGACCUCAAUGAGAUGGCCAGGUAUGUUUAUCAGCACUUUUGGGAUAAUGAUUCUCCCCUCCCAUGGUGACUGUGAGGGGCAUGAGUGUGGCCAGCGUGCAGCCGAGAAAACAGAUGUGAGCCCUCUCGUUUAGGAAGGGAAGGUGGGACAGGCAGGCAGGACUCCUUGUGGGCACCUGUUGAGGGGGCCUCACCAGGCUGCAUGGCCUCAAGGGCUGCUUUCAUUGAUUCAUCUACAGUGUAUAGUUAUUUCCAAUCAACUCAAUACAGCAUUCAUUUGAAAAAUGUUUCAGUCAUUGAGAACAGUCUGCUUUGCCUGCCCUCAGAGGACUCUUGGAAAUAAAUCAACAAACAGAAAAUUACAAGAUAAGUUAAGUGCUAUUAAGGUAAAACAUUCAGGGUCGAGAGAGGGAAGAAUGACCUGAGUGGCCACGGAAGUCCCCACUGAACCCUGGAGGCUGAGAGGCAUGGGGAGGUUCAGGGAAAGAGGGUCCUUGUAGGGGGUAAGUGCAAAGGCCCUGGGGCCACAGCACAUUUAGAGAGGCAGAAAACUCACAUACAUGGCUACACUUUAGGGAGCACAGAUGAAGAUGGGGGAGAUGGAGUAGAAGCUAGGGUGGGGCACAGCAAGAGGGCCCUGGAAGCAGGGGAGGAAUGUGAAGGACCCUAAGCUGAGCUGGCAGGGGAGGAAGCAGAAAAUUUUUUUUUUUUUGAGAUGAGUCUCGCUGUCGCCCAGGCUGGAGUGCAGUGGCACGAUCUCGG
rnacentral:lncRNA from 1 species